rnacentral:misc_RNA from 1 species
GCUGCUUACCUUCUUGACUAUGAUCACUUUGCAAAUGUGCCUCCUACUGCCUUGGUGAAGAUCACUCACUCAAUCUUCAAUGUCAAUGAUGGGGUGAAUGGGAACAAGCCUCACAAGAAGAAUCAGGUUAGCAAGAUUGCAUCUUUCCAACAAUUCAUACCACAUGAUUUUGAUGCAAGUGAUCAUGGGACAUCCAGCUUCCCAAUACGAUGCACAGCAGAGACUGGG